rnacentral:lncRNA from 1 species
AGACGACUGGCCAGGGCGCCUGUGGGAUCUGCAUGCCUGGAGCAGCCCCACCAGAGUGCCGCCUUCUCCACUGCUCAGGCGGAGGUGAGCGGAAGGGAAACUGUCCCAGGUCAGGUUGAAGGGAGGGUGCCCGCCCCUUGCUCCCGCCCCCUCUUCCUCCACAUCCACGUGGGCGAGAGUGACAGAGGCAGUGCUGGGGGAGGAGGGGUGAGGAGGGGGUAGGACUGGGGAGAGGGUGGGGGAGGGAGAGAGAGACAGAGACAGGGAGACAGAGGAGAUGGGGAGGAGGUGGGCCCGUGGCCCCCACGCCCUACCCCGUGGGGGUCUCCCCAGCUCAGGGCCCCUUCCUCCUCUGUGUCUCUGCUCACUGCUGUGGCCUCUUUCCAUAUCCCGCCCGAGCUGCCCCUCCUGAGGCUGCCGGGUGGGGGCAGGCCCUUCUCCUCCCCCAUCCCCCCCAUCUCCCUGGGGGCCGGGCCUCCCUGCCUGGGGAAGGUGGGUGGCCCCCUCUGGGCUCAGGUUCCUGGGCUGCAGUGAGGGGUGGGCUCAACCCCACUCCCAUUCUGUCGGAGCCUCUGGGAGCCUCCCGGCUGCCCACAGCCUCUGCCCCUGCUGGGGGCAGGUGCCUGGCCUCUGCCUUCCCGGCCCAUCCCCCUUCGCUGGGGCACAGGUGACCCUACUGAAUGACAACUGUCCAUGGCUAAUCGGCUCCCCCUCAAAGCUUCCACCUUGUGGAUGGCCUCACACCAUGGCCACAGUUCCAGAUCUUUCCACCGUGUGAUGCCUGCAACAGCCUGACGGGGGGGCUGGGGCGGUGGCAGGGGCUGGCUGUGAGGCUGACCUCCCCUUCCAGCCUUGACCUUCUUCCCCGGGGCCCUGCCCUCCAGCCCACUCGUGCCAGGGUGGGGUGGUUCAGGGGGUCCAGUGCCUGGGCCUGGCUGGCGGCCCGGCGUUUGUGAAAUGGCUUGCUUAUCUCCUUGUAUUCUGUGCUGAGCAUUUUAUUACAGCGAAUGGAAAACAGGAGAAAUGAAACUGCUGAUAUUAGUGAUGAGAUGCGUCAGGCUCAUCAGCUUAAAAUAACCGAAGCGAGGCUAGAAACCGCCUGACAGCUGGCGCGGCUGCCUGGCUCCGAGAGACACUCGGCCCGGCUCUGAAGGGAAAACAUUAAAGCACCGAAACAGUGGAAAAAGAGCAUCAAAGAUGAUGUCUGCGAGGCGCGGCCACGGCGAGGAAGCUCUCGUUUAUGAACAAAGGGCCACUCCCGGGUCUCAGAGAUGU